rnacentral:rRNA from 1 species
AUAGCCGCGAUAUAGUGCUAAGGUAGCAUAAUAAUUUGCCUGCUAAUUACAGGAUAGAAUGAAAGGUUGAACAUGAGGCCUACUUUAUUUUUUAUUUUAGUUUAAACUUAUAUAAAAGUAAAAAAGCUUUUAUUACUAAGAGGGACAACAAGACCCUGACGAGCUUAACUUAUGUUUUACUGGGGCGGUAACUAAACAAUUUCUUUUAUACUAUUUAAUUUCAACCCUAAUUAGGAAAAAGAAGCUACCGCAGGGAUAACAGCAUAAUUUCUUUCAAGAGACCUUAUCAAAAAAGAAGAUUAUGACCUCGAUGUUGAAUUAAAAUUCUUCUCUUAGCAAAAUUUUAGAAAGAAAGUCUGUUCGACUUUUAAAUAUUUACGUGAUCUGAGUUCA